rnacentral:RNase_P_RNA from 1 species
CGAGUUGGUCAUGCUAUCGCUUGAGUUUUCAAGAGGAAAGUCUGGACUUUAAAGAGCAUGGUGCUAGUUAAGAGCUAGGGAGUGUGAGCUCAUGGAAAGUGCAACAGAAAAUAACCGCCUGUAAGGGUAAGGGUGAAAAGGUGAGGUAAGAGCUCACCGCUUAAUUUAGACAUUAAGGCUAUGCAAACCCCACCAAAAGCAAUGCCAAAUAGAGAUCAAAUUGUGUUGCUCGCACAUGAUCAGGGUAGGCAGCAAGAGGUGCUUGGUGACAAGCAUCCUAGAUAAAUGAUAGCUUAAUACAGAAUCCGGCUUAUAGACCAACUCAAUUC